GCCCAAGUCGCCUAAUGGUAUGACAUCUCGCCUACACCGAGAAAGAAUCUGGGUUCAAUUCCUAGCUUGGGCA
rnacentral:tRNA from 1 species